UGAGUACGAGCUGCUACGGCAGCGAAGUGGGUGAUGUCAAGCUUCCAAGAAAAGCCCUAUACCCGUUAAGGCAUGAUGGCCUGUACCCGAAACCGACACAGGUGGGGUGGUAGAGAAUACCGAGGGGCGCGAGAUAACUCUCUCUAAGGAACUCGGCAAAAUGGCCCCGUAACUUCGGGAGAAGGGGUGCCACCGCAAGGUGGUCGCAGUGAAGAGGCCCAGGCGACUGUUUACCAAAAACACAGGUCUCCGCUAAGUCGCAAGACGAUGUAUGGGGGCUGACGCCUGCCCAGUGCCGGAAGGUUAAGGAAGCUGGUCAGCGUAAGCGAAGCUGGCGACUGAAGCCCCGGUGAACGGCGGCCGUAACUAUAACGGUCCUAAGGUAGCGAAAUUCCUUGUCGGGUAAGUUCCGACCCGCACGAAAGGCGUAACGAUCUGGGCGCUGUCUCGGAGAGAGGCUCGGCGAAAUAGAAUUGUCUGUGAAGAUGCGGACUACGUGCACCCGGACAGAAAGACCCUAUGAAGCUUUACUGUAGCUUGGUAUUGUGCCCGGGCUCUGAAUGCGCAGGAUAGGUGGGAGGCUUUGAUCCAUUGCUUGUGGGUGAUGGUGAGCCAACGGUGAGAUACCACUCUUUCAGAGCUAGGGUUCUAACGGUCACCCGUCAUCCGGGGACCGGACAGUAUCAGGUGGGCAGUUUGACUGGGGCGGUCGCCUCCUAAAAGGUAACGGAGGCGCGCAAAGGUUUGCUCAGGCUGGUUGGAAAUCAGCCGACGAGUGUAAAAGCAGAAGCAAGCUUGACUGUGAGACCUACAAGUCGAACAGGGACGAAAGUCGGCUUUAGUGAUCCGACGGUUCUGAGUGGAAGGGCCGUCGCUCAACGGAUAAAAGUUACUCUAAGGAUAACAGGCUGAUCUCCCCCAAGAGUUCACAUCGACGGGGAGGUUUGGCACCUCGAUGUCGGCUCAUCGCAACCUGGGGCUGAAGUCGGUCCCAAGGGUUGGGCUGUUCGCCCAUUAAAGCGGUACGCGAGCUGGGUUCAGAACGUCGUGAGACAGUUCGGUCCAUAUCCGGUGCAUGCGCAGGAAUAUUGAGAGGAUUUCUCCCUAGUACGAGAGGACCGGGAGGAACGCACCUCUGGUGUGCCAGUUAUCGUGCCAACGGUAAACGCUGGGUAGCCAUGUGCGGAGAGGAUAACCGCUGAAAGCAUCUAAGUGGGAAGCCCACCUCAAGAUGAGUAUUCCCAUGGCGUUAGCCAGUAAGGUCACGGGAAGAACACCCGUUGAUAGGCUCUACGUGGAAGCCGGGUAACCGGUGAAGCGGAGGAGUACUAAUAGACC
rnacentral:rRNA from 1 species